AACAAACAACACUCACAGCAUGACUGGCUGGCAGGGCUGCAGCUGGAGACCAGAAGGGAGGAGAAAUAUUCACCACACUUCCGGAGCAGCAUCUUGCUCAGGAUUUGAGGAGGGAGGCUGCUCAGACGUAUUUCCAGCCCCGGAGAGGGGCAGAGAGGGCUCUGUUCCCUGCAAGCCACAGAGAGAGGAGUGGCUGAGUGUACUGGCAGGCAAGGGUUACAAAAUGUGCCAGAGGAACGCCUGGGAGUGACCAUGGGAAGGAAGCACGUGAAGGCCUGCACACACACAGCUGUUGAUAAUCUCUGGAGCUGAGUGUCAGCUGAGGACCCGGAGGAGGGGCCUGAGGAAACUGCUGUUCCAGAAGGUGACUCUACUUGCAAGUGCUACGUUUAAAACCUAUGAUCAUACUGUGAAAACAUGGACACAAUCAAAAACAGAUAAAUAGACAAAAAUAUCAGAUAUUUUGCAGAAAGUGAUUGCAGAGAUGGACCCUACACUGCCAUAUGUAUUGGACCAUUCAGUGAGGAUUCACUAGUUCCAGGGAACUUUUUGCUCACUUGCUACAUUUUUUUGUAGAAGUAAAGGUUAGCAAAUUCUGUGAAGACUGGAAAUGGAGUGAAACUGUGAGAUCACAAGAAUCAAGAGAGUGAAAGCUGAGGAAGGAGAGGAUUUUUCAUAACUGUUUAAACUGGGUUUUUUAAAUACUGUAGGGACUGGAAGCUUGCGGUUAUUAUUUGACACACUUGUCUUAUAGGUCUCACAAUAAACAUCCUUGAGCCAUACCAAGAGUUCUCCAGGAAAACAACACUGGAUUUUAUAUUCCUGCUUUAAGGCUAAAAGACAUUGAACUGAAGAGGUACUAAUGGCAUUCCACCCCUCCCCAGCAUUAAACAUGUCACCUAUUCACACACACACACACAGCAUUAAACAUUUUGCAUAUCCAUACAUAGAUUUAACAGAUCUUAGGGUCAGAAGGGACUUGUUAGAUCAUCAAGUCUGACCCUCUGCCCUGGGCAGGAAAGAGUGCUGGGGUCCAAUGACCCCAACCAGGUGUUUGUCCAGUCUCCUCUUAAAUACCUUCAAGGAAGGAGACGGCACCACAUCCCUUGGAAGUGUAUUCCAUAUUUUGGUAACCCUCACUGUGAAGAAUUUUUUCCUGAUGUCCAAUUUAAAUUUGCUCUCCUUCAGUUUGUGGCCACUGUUUCUAGUUACCCCAAUGGGUGCCCUUCUAAACAUCAUAUCCCCUGUUUCCUGCUGUUCCCCAUGAUGAGUUUGUAGAUGGCCACAAGAUCACCUCUUAGCCUUCAUGUGUGGAGGCUGAAGAGAUUAAGGUCCCUCAAUUGGUCCUCAUAGGGUUUUUUCUGUAGGCCUUUAACCAGAUGGGUGGCCCUCCUCUGAACUCUUUUCAGGUUAUUUACAUCUCUCCUGAAGUGCGGCACCCAAAACUGGACAUGGUACUCCAGCUGCAGCCUGACCAUAUCACCUCCCUAGACCUGUUUGUGAUGCACCUACUUAUGCAAGAAAGAGUGCGGUUAGUUUUGCUUAUUACUUCAUCACGUUGGCAACUCACGUUCAUUUUGGAGUUGACUCCGAUUCCAAGAUCCCUUUCCACGGUUGUGCUACUUAGAAUGCUACCUCCCAGGCUAUAGCCGUGUUGAUGAUUCUUCUUCCCUAGGUGCAACACAUGGCACUUAUCUUUGUUAAACUGCAUCCUAUUCUGUUCCGCCCACUUCCCUGUAGCAAAACCCUCAGUUUUUCUUUUUAUUUUAAAAUGCAUUCCCUCCCCUUUCCCCAACCAUUUCUGACUUUUUAUCUCCCUCUCUAUUCCCUAUAGAUAAGUAUAAGUGAGCUCAAACUCAGCUUUAAACAUUUUUAUUUUGGUAGCAAGUUUUUUGUUUUGGAUAUCCAGUUUAAUAUUGCAUUAUUAUUAGGUUUGUAUUGAUUCUUACUGUUGUAUAUUGUAUUUUUAUAAUUUUCGUAUUGAUUUUUAUUGUUUCAUAUGGAUAUUGUAUGGUUUAGGCUUGUAUUUGUAAGUGAACCAAAGUCAUGUCAAGUUCCCAUUUUAUAUGUCAAGCCUCCAUCUUCUGUCCUAUGCCUGGGCAUCCCAUGUUGCAACUGUAUGAGUCACAUACCCCUCCCAUGUAAAUUGGUUCCCGGAUGAAUGAGAAUGAUUGGGAAUGAUUGAAAUACAAUGGUAGCAGGCCUCUACUGAAUGGCCUGUAAUGACUGGGCCAUCACCUCACAUUGAUUCAUUCAGGAACCACAGACCUCACCCAGGAACAGAGACAGUGAUUGUGAACAGUGAAGUGAUUGUGGUAGUGGUGGUCAUGGGGAUCAACACAACUGUCACUGACACACAUCCUAGGUGGGGCCUUAUGCUCCACAUUUUGGCAAUGUGUCCUGCCUCUGCCUGCCCUUCCCAGCCCCCUCUAGGAGCCCCACAGGCUAUGUGACAGUUCUGUACCAAAACCCCCAGUUUUUCUUUUUUUAAUUUAUUUUAAAAUACAUUCCUUCCUGUUCCCCAACCAUUUCUGACAUUUUUUCUCCCUCUCUAUUCCCUAUAGAUAAGUAUAAGUGAGCUCAUACUUAGGAUAAGCUUUAAACAUUUUUAUUUUGGUAGCAAGUUUUUGGUUUUGGAUAUCCACUGUUUUAUAUUGUGUUAUUAUUAGGUUAUUAUGAUUCUUACUAUUGUAUAUUGUAUUAUCAUUUUCAUAUUGAUUUUUAUUGUUUCAAAUGGAUAUUGUAUGGUUCACUUACAAAAAAAGGCCUAAACCAAAGUCAUGUCAAGUUUCCAUUUUAUAUGUCAAGCCUCCAUCUUCUGUCCUCUGCCCUGUUGCAACUGUAUGAGUCAUGUACCCCUCCCAUGUAAAUUGGUUCCCAGAUGAAUGAGAAUAAUUGGGAAUGAUUGAAAUACAAUGGUAGCAGGCCUCUACUGAAUGGCCUGUAAUGACUAGGCCAUCACCUCGCAUCAGUUCAUCCAGGAAACACGGACCUCACCCAGGAACAGAGACAAGACCAGCAUUUGAAAGACAAAAGACCCUGCAAAACCAGCAACUCUCACCAUUACAGACACCAGAAACUGCACAUCCCUGCAUGGAGUACACAUGCUCAGUACGCCAGGGGCUGACCCUUGCCUGGGCAUGUCUCCUCUCACUAGGGUCACACAAGGUCUGCCCUUAUAAAAAGGGGCAGAGAAGACAGACCCAGGGGGAUGCUUUCUCCAUCUGGACCAGCACCAUGCCACACCACCUAUCCACCCAGAGGCCCUGCCGGCAACCCCCCUCUGGACAACACCUACUGGAUAAGGACCCCUUUCCGGCCUGGGAUAGGUAGAUAUUACCUGAACACCUCCUCCUACAAUUUGGACUCUCUCUCUGUCUUUCUCCCUAGUCCUGGACUUCAGCCCCUGCAUCAAGCCUCUCUAAUCCCUGCUGCCAGUGUGUGUGUGUGCGUGCGUGUGUGGGUGCAAGGAAACCAGUUUGACAUUGUGUCAUCAUCUCCCCUGUUCAAUAAAACCACUGUCAUUUGCAA